CCUACGUGAGGCAGCAGUGAGGAAUAUUGGUCAAUGGACGAGAGUCUGAACCAGCCAAGUAGCGUGAAGGAUGACUGCCCUAUGGGUUGUAAACUUCUUUUAUACAGGAAUAAAACCAGGCACGUGUGCCUUUUUGCAUGUACUUUAUGAAUAAGGAUCGGCUAACUCCGUGCCAGCAGCCGCGGUAAUACGGAGGAUCCGAGCGUUAUCCGGAUUUAUUGGGUUUAAAGGGAGCGUAGGUGGGUGGUUAAGUCAGUUGUGAAAGCUUGCGGCUCAACCUUAAAAUUGCAUUUGAUACUGGCAGUCUAGAGAAUAGUUGCGGUAGGCGGAAUGCGUGGUGUAGCGGUGAAAUGCUUAGAUAUCAUAAAGAACACCGAUUGCGAAGGCAGCUUACCAAGCUACGACUGACGUUGAGGCACGAAAGUGUGGGGAGCAAACAGGAUUAGAUACCCUGGUAGUC
rnacentral:rRNA from 1 species